rnacentral:rRNA from 1 species
GUUUGAUCCUGGCUCAGGGUGAACGCUGGCGGCGCGCUUAACACAUGCAAGUCGUGCGCGAAAGGCUUGAACCGCAAGGGGAUGGCCGAGUAGAGCGGCAAACGGGUGAGUAACACGUUGCUAACCUGCCCCCGCGAUGGGGAUAACAGCCCGAAAGGGCUGCUAAUACCCAAUAUGCUCACGAAGUUCCGACUUCGCGAGGAAAGCUCCCGCAAGGGAGCGCGCAGGGAUGGGGCUGCGGCCUAUCAGCUUGUUGGUAGGGUAACGGCCUACCAAGGCGAUGACGGGUAGGGGGCGUGAGAGCGUGGCCCCCCACAUGGGGACUGAGACACGGCCCUGACUCCUACGGGAGGCAGCAGUGGGGAAUCUUCGGCAAUGGGCGCAAGCCUGACCGAGCGACGCCGCGUGGAGGACGACGGCCUUCGGGUUGUAAACUCCUUUUCAGGGGGAAGAAUAAGUCUGGGAGGCAAUGCCCGGAUGAUGACGGUACCCCUGGAAUAAGCCACGGCUAACUCUGUGCCAGCAGCCGCGGUAAGACAGAGGCGGCGAGCGUUACCCAGAUUCACUGGGCGUAAAGGGUGUGUAGGCGGUCGUGCAUGUCGCCGGUGAAAUCUCCCUGCUCAACGGGGAGAGGUCCGGCGAAACUGCACGGCUGGAGGGCCGGAGAGGGGAGCGGAACUUCCAGAGUAGCGGUGAAAUGC